AUGAAGUUUCCUGCAUUUAUAGAGAUGGUUGGCUGUGCAAUCUUUUUGGCUGUUGGCUUAGAAAAAAAAUUGAGAUGUAUGUCUACCUAUCUACUAAGGCAAAAAUGUCACAACUGGUAUCAAUCACCUCAGACUCAGUUCUCUUUGUUUUCCAUGCCUGUGGUGCCUCUCCACUGCAUCUUGGAACCUCUGCUGGCCUCUGGUCAGAGCUGUGCCUGUCCUCUCCCAGCCUCGUGUGCUCACCUGCUGGCUCCCAUUCGUGUUUCCUGGCUCCUGCGUGCGGCCAGUUCACCUCCACAUACACCAAAUAGGCUGGAAGGUUGUAUCAGUCCUCUGAGCAUCACUGAACAUUUCAAGACGAGUUGUUUGUGAAGCAUGAUCCCAGCAGAUCCUCCACAAGAACAAAAAGGUAUUAUUCAUAUUUAACAACAUGGAGACAGAGUUGAUGUUUAGUUUAGAUGCCUAAAUAGGCUAUAAACUUACUGCCAGCUGCUUUCUUUAAAAACGUUUUACUGUGUUAUCUCUGUCCUGUGCUAGUGGCAUGCAGGUCUCAAAAGGAAGAGAAGAGGGUAAGUUUUACCUUUUUUUUUUUUUCCUUGCCUCUCAGAUCAGGGAGGCUUUGUUCCAUUUCUGUCAAAGGCUCUGACAGGUGUUCUUCCUGCAAUCCUUAUAAAUAGUUCUAAAUGCCUGUGUGGCGUUCACCUGCCUGAUAUUUUCCUUUUAAGUUUUGGUCUUAAUUGGGAUCCAUGUAGACGUUUAUUUAGUUUGUUUUAUUGAGCAGCAGCAGAGCAGAGCAUUCCCUCCCACGGAGGCAGGCUCGGGAGAGGACCUGAAGGCAGGUAGUUUUGUGGAGACCUAUGCCAAUCACAAGCAAUUUCCCUUUAAAUAAUUUAUUUAAAAUUAUUUAGAGGUGGGGGGAAGGAUGCAUGGAAUCAUUGCCAUCUGUGUGCUUCUUCUCUGAUGCUAAUCAAGCUCUUCUGCCAGGUAGCUCUUCCCCAUGGGCCUCGCUUGCAGGGAAUUUUUUAGUUCAAAGGCUCUGCAGAAAUCCAAAGUAUCUCAGCUACCACGUCCUGUCAGACCUCCAGCUUGCUGCAUCUGUCACUGCAGCUGAGUUUUGUGCGAUGUGGAAGUCCAUCCUGGUGGGAUCCCAGGGAAUGCUCCCCCUUUCUCCUCUGCUUCCUGCCAUUUCUUUGAGUUUUGGUUUGUUCUUUUUGCUUGUUUCACCUGCCCUUUAGUCAGAUGGACUUGUUCAAACUUAGAAACGCAGCCAUGGCUUUCUGUUUGAAAGCAUAUUGAGAACAAAAAUUAUGAUAACGUACAAAAAUGCAAAUUGGAAUUGAUCAUUUAUGGUACGGCCUAGAAAAGUGCUAACAAGGCCAACAUAAUCAGACAACACGAUGUUCACAGAGGAUGGAGCAGUGGAACAGAAGACUGACGAUGGAAGAUAGAAACACUGCAAAAAGGAGAAAAAGAAAUACAGAUCCAGCUUCAUGCCUGCCUUCAGUACAGAGGUGAUAAGAGAUGGUGAGGAGUGGCUGCAGCUGAGCAGGAUGCGAGGUGUGCUCAGGGAGGGCAGCAGCAGCUGGCAUCCAUCCGUCCCCGUGUCCUGGGGUGAUGGCAGAGGUGUGCUCACUCCUCUGUUCUUUGACCAAUGUGGUUUGCACUCAUCUGCAGAAAACAGUUGAACUCUCUUCUGAGUUACAUUCUUAUGCCAAGAAUUGGGGAAGUCUGCCCACUAUUAUCAGUAUGGUUGGUUCCUUCUAAUCAGUCAUACUAGGUUGAAUAGAAUCUAAUAUUUCCUACCGAUGUCUGUGGAAGGAGGCUUAAUUUGGGGUCAUUUAUUCCAUUCACUAAAAGUUUUACAAGUAGCUUUAAGGAUCAAGCAGCUUUAAAGAUCAUGUUAUCUGAUAACUAUUGUGUUAUUGUGUUAAAACUAGAACAUAAAAUUAUUUAAUUAUCAUAUUCUGUAUGUUCAGCUCCUCAGGAUAUUUUUCCUUUCCAGAACAUGCAAUCAGCACAUCCCUAGGCCAAUUAUAAAUUAUAAAAUAUCACCAUCAAAUAUGAGUAUUCUUGAGUGGAGGUGAGUAUUUUGAAUGGGUAUUUACUGAAGAAGAAGAAAAAAAAAAAGUAGAACUUGCUUUAUCACUUUCUUUGAGUUUGCCUUCUUCAAAGCCAACUAAUUUAUCAGGAUGAAUAUUUGUAGACACAGCAGACAACGGAGAAUAUUUAUGGAAAGUGAAUUUUAAACUCAAGCAUGAAUAUUAAUGCUGAAUCUGAGUUAUUUUUUAUUUUUAUUUAUUAAUUAUUUGCUUUAACUGAGGAAGAUAUCACAAGCAUUGCACUGCAACUUAAACAUCCGUAUGUGCGGCAAAACUGAACCUCACAGUGAAAUGGGAUGGUGACUGUUAGCAUUUAACUGCUCAUAAACCACAGAUGACUUUUUAUGUGGAUAAGUAAUUAUAUACAGAUACCGUCAAGUAAAUCCUGUAUUUAAUAACUUCAUACGAGCCAGGGAAUUUGAGGAAAGAAAAAGAUUGCUCAUAUGCUAGUGAAUGGUAAUCAAAUUUAUUAUUUUUUAGUAUUUCACUCAAAUAAUAACCAGUAGUUAUUUAUUUUACUCACAGAUUCCAUGGCUGUCCAUAUUAUCCCAACUAUCUGUGCUAAUUAAAAUAAUUACUUUGAUCCAGUACAAAUAAAUUUGUGCUCAUUUGGUAGUUUCUUUUGAAC
rnacentral:lncRNA from 1 species